rnacentral:rRNA from 1 species
AGCGAACGCUGGCGGCAGGCCUAACACAUGCAAGUCGAGCGCCGUAGCAAUACGGAGCGGCAGACGGGAGAGUAACACGUGGGAACGUGCCCUUCAGUUCGGAACAACCCAGGGAAACUUGGGCUAAUACCGGAUACGGCCGGAAGGAGAAAGAUUUAUCGCUGAAGGAUCGGCCCGCGUCUGAUUAGCUAGUUGGUGGGGUAACGGCCCACCAAGGCGACGAUCAGUAGCUGGUCUGAGAGGAUGAUCAGCCUCACUGGGACUGAGACACGGCCCAGACUCCUACGGGAGGCAGCAGUGGGGAAUAUUGGACAAUGGGCGCAAGCCUGAUCCAGCCAUGCCGCGUGGGUGAUGAAGGCCCUAGGGUUGUAAAGCCCUUUCGGCGGGGAAGAUAAUGACGGUACCCGCAGAAGAAGCCCCGGCUAACUUCGUGCCAGCCGCCGCCGUAAAAC